rnacentral:rRNA from 1 species
CGCCAGACUCCUACGGGAGGCAGCAGUGGGGAAUAUUGCACAAUGGGCGAAAGCCUGAUGCAGCGACGCCGCGUGAGUGAAGAAGUAUUUCGGUAUGUAAAGCUCUAUCAGCAGGGAAGAAAAUGACGGUACCUGACUAAGAAGCCCCGGCUAACUACGUGCCAGCAGCCGCGGUAAUACGUAGGGGGCAAGCGUUAUCCGGAUUUACUGGGUGUAAAGGGAGCGUAGACGGCGAAGCAAGUCUGAAGUGAAAGCCCGGGGCUCAACCCUGGGACUGCUUUGGAACCUGUUUGGCUAGAGUGUCGGAGAGGUAAGUGGAAUUCCUAGUGUAGCGGUGAAAUGCGUAGAUAUUAGGAGGACCACCAGUGGCGAAGGCGGCUUACUGGACGAUAACUGACGUUGAGGCUCGAAAGCGUGGGGAGCAACCAGGAUUAGAUCCCCGCGUAUG